GGCGCGAAAACUUUGCAAUGCGGGAAACCGUGACAAGGGAACUCUGAGUGCCCGUUAAAUCGGGCUGUCCAUCGGUUUAAAAAACCGGUGAAGAAAGGGCCGGGCAAGACCGGUGCCAGCCGCCGCGGUAAUACCGGCGGCUCGAGUGGUGGCCACUAUUACUGGGCUUAAAGCGUUCGUAGCUGGUUUGUUAAGUCUCUGGGGAAAUCUUCCGGCUUAACCGGAAGGCGUCUCAGGGAUACUGGCAGACUAGGGACCGGGAGAGGUGAGAGGUACUCCAGGGGUAGGAGUGAAAUCCUGUAAUCCUUGGGGGACCACCUGUGGCGAAGGCGUCUCACCAGAACGGCUCCGACAGUGAGGGACGAAAGCUGGGGGAGCAAACCGGAUU
rnacentral:rRNA from 1 species